GAUGCCUUGGCACCAGGAGCCGAUGAAGGACGUAGGAGGCUGCGAUAAGCCUCGGGGAGCUGUCAACCGAGCUGAGAUCCGAGGAUUUCCGAAUGGGGAAACCCAGCACGAGUGAUGUCGUGUUACCCGCCACUGAAUAUAUAGGUGGUGUGGAGGGAACGUGGGGAAGUGAAACAUCUCAGUACCCACAGGAAGAGAAAACAACAGUGAUUCCGUGAGUAGUGGCGAGCGAAAGCGGAUGAGGCUAAACCAGUUAGAUGUGAUAGACGGCAGUCGUUGUCUGGCUGGGGUAGUGGGAUCAUUCUUCUCAACUCUGCCGAGUUGAGCAACAGUAAGAAACCAAGUGGUUAGUUGAAGUGGUCUGGAACGGCCUGCCAUAGACGGUGAUAGUCCGGUAAACGAAAACUUCUUGGCUGUUGUGGAUGUCUCCCGAGUAGCAGCGGGCCCGUGAAAUCUGCUGUGAAUCUGCCGGGACCACCCGGUAAGCCUGAAUACUCCCUGGUGACCGAUAGCGGACUAGUACCGUGAGGGAAAGGUGAAAAGUACCCCGGGAGG
rnacentral:rRNA from 1 species